rnacentral:rRNA from 1 species
UACAUAGGGUGCGAGCGUUAUUCGGAAUUACUGGGCGUAAAGCGUUCGUAGACGGUAGCAUAAGUCAGAUGUGAAAGCCCCGGGCUCAACCUGGGAACUGCAUUUGAGACUGCUCUGCUCGGGUGCGGAAGAGGGAAGCGGAAUUUCCGGUGUAGCGGUGAAAUGCGUAGAUAUCUGGAGGAACAUCAGUGGCGAAGGCGACACCCUGGACUCAUACUGACACUGAGGUGCGAAAGCGUGGGGAGCAAACAGG